rnacentral:lncRNA from 1 species
UCGAAGACUCCAAAUGACUCCCCUUGACAUUUCACCAUUGCUGUGAUCAAGCAUCGACAUCCUCAAGAUAUAAUACUCAACGACUUGUCUUGUACGGCUCUCUCAUUCUGUGAUUUACCUCCUCGAGCAUGCGUGGCCUCGAGAAUUGAACCUCCUUUACGACCCACGACAGCUGUCAUCAAUCUAAUAAGGUUCCUAUGUUCUUGAAAUUCUAGUCCCAC